UUGUCUAAAUUGUCUUAUUAUUAGAUUGCUUUCACAGAAAACGGAAUAAACAGCUUAUAAUCCUGGUAUAAAUAAAGCCCUAAUCGUUCCCUUCUUUCUCUGUCUUAAUCUCUCAUUUCCAUCGCAAAUACCCAUACUUGCCUGUCGUGGGAAUGGUGAUGUAGUUUGAGGAGCAGCUGGAGUUGGAAAAUCAACAUCGGAGUACGACUGUACGACGUGAUUGUUCGGCACCACUUUCAAAUGCAACAAAACACAACGAUGGAAGUACGACGUGUUUCUGAGUUUCCCCGGGGAAACCCGCAAAGGUUUCACUCACUUCUUGUACAAAGCCCUGCAAAGGCGAGGACUCAAAGUAUUCAGAGAUCAAGAACUAGAAAGAGGCACAAACAUCUCUUCAAACCUCUUUGCUGCAAUUGAAGAGUCGAGGUUUGCCAUUGUUGUCCUCUCACCAAAGUACGCUUCUUCUACUUGGUGCUCGGACGAACUUACAAAGAUUAUGGAGUGCGUGGAAGUUAAGGGCACAACAAUUCUCCCAAUAUUCUAUAAGAGCCAAAGUGCGAAGGUGGAGAAGUGCUUUUACAAAACUCAGUGGCAUCGCUGGAUGGAUAUCGACAGAAUGGUACGAGUACGAGCUUACCGAAGAAAUAGAAUUAGUGUGUAGCAGAUGCAUCUUGGCUCUUUCAAUUCUUGUUGCAGGCUAGGAUUCCAAAUUGCAUGGAAUCUGAUGUUUCGGUAAUAUUAUACCUUUUCUUUUUGUCCCUUUUCCUUAUAUAUUGCGAUCGAGGUAGGAGUUACA